AAGGCUGACCACCACUAAGGCAGCAUCUUUUUGAGAUUGCUUCUUUGUGGAGUUUGGAUAACCAGCCUCAGUGUUUUCCAGCUAGACUGAAGGCAUCUGUAUUGCGCUCCUGAGAGCACGUGACUUGUGAUGGAAUAAUUUAGCAUUCCGAAUCGGUAUCAACGCUGCAACUGGCUGAGAGGUGACAUGGUUAUUUAUAAAGCCUGAGGCCAUCGCAAGGUUUUAAUAGGCAUUUGUUUCCAUUUGGAUACCAAAAGUAUGAAUCUCAGCUGCGAUGUAAUCUGAGGUACAGGUUAUAAUUAGUUUCCUGACACUGUGCAUUUUUCACACUCGCUAUUAUCUAAAAGGAUAAAAGAGCUUUGAAAUAAACUUUUGUCAUUGUGAGGAGGAAGAAGCACAAAACCUUGAGGAUAUUUGUCUGCAUUCAGGACAGUGAAACGUGGCUACGUGGGGCAUCUGCUUCAUCACUGAGCGUUCGGUGUCUGCAGCAUCAGGCUUCAAUCACUGCACACAUCACUGUGACUUAUUUUUUUCCAUGUGUGCUGUAUGCAGAGAGUUAAAUUGUACUUAGAGGAGAGGAAAUUUUGUAUAAUUCUGCCUUUCUGGAAUGUUGGAUCCUUUGACCUUUUCUUCUCCAUUUUUUGAGUUGCAUAUGUGUAGCCAUACCAUGGAAAAUAAAUGCUAGUCAUGUAACGUUUGUGUGCUUCAAUGCACUGUAGCUGAGUUUCUUUCAUCUGAACAUGGAGGCAAAGUCUGAAGGCAGCGGGAGCAGUUCUGUGAGCCUUCAGAGAGUGCUGCAUAGCAAACCCUGAGCCACAGAAGUGAUGCUGGAAGGCAGGAGAUGUGCCCACAUGCCUUUCCAGUCACCAACAGGAAAGUGCUGAUAACUGUUAAAGGGGAAGAAGGAUUGAGAAGCAUUUGUUGAUUUGAAGAGUGGCAGGAUGAGAAACAAAAGCAGUACUUCAGUAGCGCAGCAGCCUGGCGCGCUGCCUUCGGGGUGGGUUUUUUAUCUGCUCCGUGAUUUCUUUUUCAGAUGUUGCUGAGCACCUGUAGCCCUCCUUACAGUGAAAGGCUGUCUGUAUGCGGGCAAAAUAACUUUAAAAAUCUAUUCCUUGGUAUUUUAACGUGGAUGGGCAACACAGUUUUGUAGUUGAAGAUUUUGAAUCGGUUUCAGCUGCUCUUCUGAAGAUGCCAGAAUGCCAAAGCACCGCUGGAACUGCAGCUAAAAUCCUGCCCACCCUGCCCUCCUCCUUGAGCCAGUUCUGAGAUUGUGGAUUUCACUGUGCCUGAAAACAGCAGCUGACUGAAGAUCCAGAUGACUUUUUCUGUGAUUUUGUGAGUGACAACUUCUCCAUAUGGUGGAAACGUUCCUUAAAAGAGGACAGGGAGUUGGUGGAGUAAAAUGAAGUGCUCCAACAUCCUCAUCCAAAAUAGUAUCUUGGCAGAGCAUGACAGAAAUAGGAUGUUGUUCAAAUUCUUCUUUCUUUCCAAGAAGCUAUUAAUGUUGAGCAUUGCAGGAGAGCCUCACCUUGUAUUUUACAUCCUGCUGGGCUUCCUUCUCUGCUGCUCAUUCCUACUCUCCAACUCUUUCCUAAAGAAGGAGCACAGGAGGGCCUGAGGCUGGGCACUGCACCUCGCAGUGUCACACAUCUUCUCUUUAUCCUCAGCAAAUCUGAUGCAGACGUAGCCUGCACUGAAGCAAUCUAUCCAGAGGACUCCCACCAGAAAAUGAUAAAGCAUAUCCUAUUAGGCUCUACAUUUUUGUCUUACACUAUAAUAUUUUUCAGUCACUUCACCCGCUGUGUGGCUUUUAGUGUGUUUACACUGUGAAACAACAAACUGUCUGUGGAAAUCCCAACAGCCUUUUAGGCUUUGGGAAGUGCAGAUAUAUCCCGUGGUUAACUUAAAUCGUGGCUCUGUUGACAAACCCUGAGCUUUGCCAUCCUCUUCAUAGGGAGUGGGCUGUGCUGUAGGAGAAAUGGCUGCAGCCAUUUCCAGUCCAAGAGAAGAUUCUUGGUAGGGCGCUACCAGCUUUACCUUCCCUUGCCUAGAGCUCAGCAUCUGUUUGCUGAUCACGUGCCCUGGGCCCUGAUUUGCUUCUGGACCCGCUUUCCUUCUUCCACAUUCCCCUUCAACUUGAAUGGAGAGGACUGGAAACGGACACAAUAUUUUGUGUGGCCAAAUUGGAUGAGUCAGUGGGGAUGUUCCCAUGAUCUGUUGGCCUCCUGAUGUAGCCCAAGGCACAGUUUGCUUAUUCAUGCUGGAGACACGCUGGUUGCUUUGCUUUAGCCAGAGUCUGUUCCAAACAUGCGCUAUUGGGUUGCUUCUCUGUCUUUUCCUCUUGAAAAAUAGGCUUGUACGACUGCGGUAGUAUUUGACAUGCCAAGAGCUCUACUGUAAUCUAAGCUUGUGAUCAUAAAUGCUCAGUGUUUGUAGAAGAACAAACGUUUCUUGUUAAAUAUUUCUCUAAGUCUAUAUAAAUAUAACCAAUGGUUAGAAAAGUAAUCUGUUAGAGAAGACGUUAUUUUAAGUCGUAUAUGAAAUCAUUAAUAUGGUCAAAUACUCCUGAUAUUAAAUCUUCGUUAUUUUAACUCCU